GAUGAACGCUGGCGGCGUGCCUAAUACAUGCAAGUCGAGCGAACAGAUGAGGAGCUUGCUCCUCUGACGUUAGCGGCGGACGGGUGAGUAACACGUGGAUAACCUACCUAUAAGACUGGGAUAACUUCGGGAAACCGGAGCUAAUACCGGAUAAUAUAUUGAACCGCAUGGUUCAAUAGUGAAAGACGGUUUUGCUGUCACUUAUAGAUGGAUCCGCGCCGCAUUAGCUAGUUGGUAAGGUAACGGCUUACCAAGGCAACGAUGCGUAGCCGACCUGAGAGGGUGAUCGGCCACACUGGAACUGAGACACGGUCCAGACUCCUACGGGAGGCAGCAGUAGGGAAUCUUCCGCAAUGGGCGAAAGCCUGACGGAGCAACGCCGCGUGAGUGAUGAAGGUCUUCGGAUCGUAAAACUCUGUUAUUAGGGACGAACAAAUGUGUAAGUAACUAUGCACGUCUUGACGGUACCUAAUCAGAAAGCCACGGCUAACUACGUG
rnacentral:rRNA from 1 species